UGAAGCGAUGGGAUCCAUUCAAU
rnacentral:snRNA from 1 species